UCCGAUAUGGUGUAGUGGCUAACAUUAUCGCCUCUCAUCUAGUUUGUGGAUCUGGGUGCGCGAUAGCCCGGGGUUCGAUUCCCCGUGUCGGAA
rnacentral:tRNA from 1 species